CCUACGGGACGCAGCAGUGGGGAAUAUUGCACAAUGGGCGAAAGCCUGAUGCAGCAACGCCGCGUGAAGGAAGAAGGGUUUCGGCUCGUAAACUUCUAUUAACAGGGACGAAAGAAAUGACGGUACCUGAAUAAGCCACGGCUAACUACGUGCCAGCAGCCGCGGUAAUACGUAGGUGGCAAGCGUUGUCCGGAUUUACUGGGUGUAAAGGGCGUGCAGCCGGGAAGACAAGUCAGAUGUGAAAUCCCGCGGCUCAACCGCGGAACUGCAUUUGAAACUGUUUUUCUUGAGUACCGGAGAGGUCA
rnacentral:rRNA from 1 species